rnacentral:rRNA from 1 species
AACGAACGCUGGCGGCAUGCUUAACACAUGCAAGUCGAACGAUACCCUGGGGCUUGCUCCAGGGAUAAGUGGCGCACGGGUGAGUAACACGUAGGUAAUGUUCCCGUUGGUUUGGAAUAACCUGCCGAAAGGCGGGCUAAUACCUUAUAAGUUCCCUUGGAGUUCGCUAUGGGGGAAGAAAGCAGGGCAACUUGCGCCGACGGAUCAGCCUGCGUCCCAUCAGCUAGUUGGUGAGGUAACGGCUCACCAAGGCUACGACGGGUAGCUGGUCUGAGAGGAUGAUCAGCCACACUGGGACUGAGACACGGCCCAGACACCUACGGGUGGCAG